rnacentral:lncRNA from 1 species
UUUAGGUUACACAAACCUUAAUCUCUAGUGCCCUCACUUUCACCGCCGUAAUUUUUCGUGAAUGCUUCCGCAAAAAACAUAGCUCGAGCCUUCGCCAUUAGCAGCAAGCCUGCAACUAUGACUGCUUCUCAUCCCCACGAGUUUGAGAAAUCUUUGAUCGAGGCCAAAGAUUUGUGGAUCCUAACGAUGAUGAAGCUUCUACCUAAAUAUAUCAUCCAAUACAAGUUACUACGCGAGAAAGAUUCUUUCCAGGCAUCUGAUGUGGACCAAGUGGUUGUAUUCUAUCAAUUUGUUCUGCAAAGGUUAGGGAUUCCAACCUCCACCAUCUCCAAUGAUCUUUUGCAUUUAUAUUAUAUUGAACUAAUACACUUAAGCCCUAAUUCAAUCCUCCACAUAGCUAUCUUUGUGCAUUUGUGUGAGGCCUACUUAGGCAUUCUAGACAUACAUGCACAUGCACACACACACAUAUUAUAUUCUUGUUAUCUAAUAUCCAGUCUAGUAGCUAAAAGGUUUGACAAAAUGAUUCUAAUUCAUUGUCUGAAAUGUUUCUCGAUAGAAUCUAGAUAAAAAACGUUUCUACAAGAAUAUAGAUCCCCACCAAACACACCCUAUAUUUCAAUCUGCACAUUGAUGAAUAAUAGGGAGAGUAUCACUAGUUCAACCAUUUAAGAACUAAUUAAAUAAAUAAGUGACUAGAGAAAAUAAUGUUAUUUCAAUAGUUCAAAGGGUGGUUAGAUAGUGUUUUGAGCUAUAAUGGUGGCAUAACUAUACUAAGGCAUUACCUUGAGAGAUCCAAG